CAAGUCGGACGAGAUUUUCCGUUGUAGCAAUACGAUGGAAAGUCUAGUGGCGAACGGGUGCUUAACACGUGGGCAACCUGCCGAGAAGUGGGGGACAGCUCGCCGAAAGGCGAAUUAAUACCGCAUGUGAUCAGAGAGGACAUCCUUUCGAAAUUAAAGUCGGGGCAACCUGACGCUUCUUGUGGGGCCCGCGGCCUAUCAGCUAGUUGGUGAGGUAACGGCCCACCAAGGCUUUGACGGGUAGCUGGCCUGAGAGGACGACCAGCCACACUGGGACUGAGACACGGCCCAGACACCUACGGGUGGCAGCAGUCGAGAAUUUUUGACAAUGGGGGAAACCCUGAUCGAGCGACGCCGCGUGGAGGAUGAAGGUCUUCGGAUUGUAAACUCCUGUCAUUGGGGAACAAUGCGUGACGGUUAACUGCCGUCGCGUUGAUAGUACCCGAAGAGGAAGAGACGGCUAACUCUGUGCCAGCAGCCGCGGUAAUACAGAGGUCUCAAGCGUUGUUCGGAUUCAUUGGGCGUAAAGGGUGCGUAGGCGGCGCGGUAAGUCGGGUGUGAAAUCUCGGAGCUUAACUUCGAAACUGCAUUCGAUACUGCCGUGCUUGAGGACUGGAGAGGAGACUGGAAUUUACGGUGUAGCGGUGAAAUGCGUAGAUAUCGUAAGGAAGACCAGUGGCGAAGGCGGGUCUCUGGACAGUUCCUGACGCUGAGGCACGAAGGUCAGGGGAGCAAACGGGAUUAGAUACCCCGGUAGUCCUGACAGUAAACGGUGCACGUUUGGUGUGGGAAGGAUUC
rnacentral:rRNA from 1 species